AUGGAGCAGCGCCUCGCGGAGCUCGAGAAGCGCAUCGGCUCCCUUGAGGCGGGCGCUGCCAAGGGCCUCGAGGUGUCGCAUCCCGGCCGCCAGCUCGAGGAGCGCGUCGCCCGCCUCGAGGUCGACCACCAGAAGCAGACCGCGCGCAUCUUCGUCGAGAUCGAUCAGAAGAUGGUGACGCUCGAGCUGAAGCUGGACAAGGCCUCGUUCCAUCAGUACAAGGAGGUCCAGGCUGGGCUGAACAAUCUCCAGGUCAGGUGCGGCACUUCAUCUGUCGAGAUCCGGGCUCUUGCGGUCCCAUCAGCCGCACGCGAUAUUAAGGUGGACAAGCAGCACGUCCAGUGCCUUGUACAGAUCAAGAAGAAGUGA
rnacentral:rRNA from 1 species